CAUCUUAGCUAAUGAAAUGAUAGUGUUUUAAAAAUUAGAAAGACUGAGACAUACAUUUAUAGAUGCAUCACAUAUUGAAACAUAUCUAAUUUAAGCUGUGUCCCUUUUCCAAAUCCGAUAUAAAAGGAUCUAGUUUGAAAAAAAAACACAAUUCUAGAUUUUAUUUAUUUAAUAAAUAAAAAAAAUUUAUUUCACUAUUUAAAUUUACUAAAAAUAUUUCUUGAUAUAUAUAUAUAUAUAAACAAUCAAAUUCGAUUAAUUUACAGAUUCAGAAUUUAUAUAAUACACAUUUAGAAGAAAACAAACAGAAAGAUAAACAAGAAAUGAUAAUUUGGUUAGUAGAAAUAUAAUUGUAAAGUUAUUUGAAAAACAAUCAGUUAUUUCUAUAUACAUUAUUUUGGAAUCGUUCUUAAGAAUGUGCCAAUUUUUGUCCGAGCUAAAAAAAGGCGUAAUUAACUGAAGGCAAAAAAAAAGUCAAAAGAGUUAGGCCUUUUAUAUUUAGCCAAUUGUGAAUGUCUAGACAUUGUUAGAGCACCCCCAUCAGCAAACUCCACUAGUCUCGAUUCCCAAUGUGCAUUUUUGAUUAGUUUAAUUUUUUUUUCGUUUGACUUAAAAAAAAAAAAUUAGUAGCCGAACCAUUUGCGGGCCGCCAUGUGGCAUAGAACCCGCGGAACAGUGUUGAUACGGGUUCAUAGUGGGGAGCUUUUGUGAUACAGGUUCAUAAUAAAAGGGUUUUUAUAUUUUUUUUUUUUUUUGGGAACUGUGUGAACCCCCCUCCCCCCCCCCCCUCCCCCCUUCUUGAUACUCCAAUGCAGAUGCUCUUAGGGGUUUGUUGUUAUAUUUUCUAUUUCCAAUGAAGUAGAAAAUAAUUUUGUAUUCUCAUUGCGAUAAUACACCUAUUGUUUCAUAUAAUUUUUCCUUUCGUUAUACAAAUCUUUUUUUGGUAUGUUUGUUACAGUCAUGAAAGUCAUCACAAAAUAAUUUCCGUUUAGUACAUACCAGAAAAUUGACCGGUUCUAUACUAACCGGCUCGUACUAACCCGUGCGUUUACACUGGAGAUUUGAAUCCUUUUUAUGAUUGUUGUUGGUUUGGUUUUAAGAAUCUAGCGAGAGUUUAACCUUUCUGUUAGCUUCCUCUGUCACAGGAAAGGAUCAGACUCCAAUCCUUUGCCGAUUCGUGUGACAUCAAGAUAUUCUCAUUAGUGAAAAUAACUAAAGGAAGAAUGGCUUGUGUUACAAAAAAUAGUGAAGAAUGGCUUAGAGAGAUAUUAUAAAACUCUCCUCACUUGUAAAUAUAUUUUAAAAAAUCUCGUGAACCAGCAGUAACGUGUAACACUAACAAAGAUGAUUCGGGAGAGGAAAAAAAUAAUACAACUUUGAGUGUUGGGGUUGCAAAGAAUCACACGAAUCAAUUUACAAGUCACAAGAGGAUGAAGUCGGACGGAAGUCACGGAAGACCUUAGAUUUCACGUGUGAUCAGAAAGCUGCCCAACCUGAUGCAGCAAGCUCAUGUUGAUUUGGUUAUCCUGAUCCCGUUGUUGAAGGGAGAUUUGACGUCCGUUGAGGACCGAGACCGUAACCUUUUGUAAUUUUAUUAAGUGAACUCCUUCGUUUUAUCUAAUUUUCUCUUGAAUUUAGUUGAAAACAAAAAAAAUAUUAAAUAUCUUAGAAGAAAAAAGACUCAAUGAGAAAUUUUAUUUUGACCGUGAGAUUGCUAACCUGUAAAUAAAUUAAGUUUUUACCAUUUUUCAUUUCAAUUUUAGAUGAAACUAACAAUUGAUUCUAUAUUUUUUUUUUGUGAAUUUAAACAAUUGUACAAAAAAGAAGAAGACACACAUAUCAAUAUUUGUUAUUUAUACGUAUAUUCAGUAACAUAAUACACCUUACUACGUCAAAAACACCAAAACAAACUUAUUAAAAGUUUUAUUCAUUUCUUUGACAAAGUCGUAGUGUAAUUAUAAAUUUUAGUGAGAGUUGUUUAACGUCUCUGUUAGCUUCUUCUGUGUCUGGACUGGAUCAGACUCCAGUCCUUUGCAGCUUCGUAUGACAUCAAAAUAUUCAUCAAUGAAAAUACUUAAAGGAAGAAUGGUUUAGAGAGUCUACUCAUUUGUAAAUAUAUUUAAAAAGACGUGUGUGAAAAGCUUUUACCAUUCACUUGUAAACGGAGACCUCGCGUACCCCCGAGAGGUGUAUGCUCUAGUCCUCCUCCUCCUCUUCUUCUUUCUCGAACCACAUCGGAAAAAGACGUGUGUGAAAAGCUUUUACCAUUCUUAUUUCAAUUUUUAUAUGAAUUAAUAGCAAAUUCCAAUAUAAUUUUUUUGUUAAUAUAUGCAACUGUUCAAGAAAAAAAAAUUAAAAAGGUAGACACACGUAUCAAUAUUUGUUAUUAUACUUGUAUUCAGUAACAUAGUACAUCUUAUUAUGCCAUAAAACGAGCAACAAUUUAUUAAAAAAUAUUAUUUUCUUUGACAAAGGCAUAUUAUCUUUAAAAAAAUAUUAUUUGAGUUUUAGUGUAGAUAAAAAAAGAAUGAUUUACACUAUGAGUCAGUUUUUGACUUUUUAUUACACAAAAUAGCAGUUUGUGCUACUUGAAUAGGUUUUGGUGGUUAGAGACAUUGUUGGCCUUGGAAAAGUGUAACCAUAAGUUUUUUUUGUGUCACCUUUAUAGAUAUAGUUAGCUUUUCGUUAUAUGUGCACCUAACUAAGCGUAACAACAAGAAUAUUUUUUUUCUUUUGUUUUAAAUUUCUUAAAAUGUUGAAACCCAUAAAUCGUAGAAAGCAGUGAACAUUUUUUGGUUUGUUUUUUUUUGAUUUUUUUCUUUGGUUAGCAUUCUCGUCGUCUUUCAUUUGAUCAUAAACUCUUUUCGACCACCAAGACCGGAACAUCAUGACUUUGCCGCCGCGAGUUUAGUAUACUCGGCCACAAACUCAGUUUAAAAAAAACAUCUAUGUUAUCGUGAUUUGAGUCAAAAUCAGCUGUUUAUCACGGAUCUAUCAUAUUUGAAUGAUAAUAAUAAAGAAAUGAGGUUGACUCAAAGAAAAUCAUCCCAAAAAAUGGUGAUUUAUGUCUGAAAACAAAAAUGACUGCAAACUAUGUAGAAAGAGAAGUGUCGAUGAAGAAGAAGAUAUGCAAAAUUAAUACUGCCCUUCGCUAUCAUAAUCUCAUAUGUCUAUAACAAAAAAAUUAUGCACAUCCGUUAGUGUACAUGUGUACAAUAUAAAUUAUGGUGUACAUGUGUACAAAAAAUACUUGCACGUAUGAGAUAGAAAUCUUUUUGUAGAUAUGGUAAAAAUGUACACUUUAGAAUUGAUGGAGCAAUGAUUACACGACAUUUUAAUAAUAAAAAGAUUUCUAAUAAAAGCAUAGAAAAAUUUUCAUGGACAAUGUCUUUUGAUAUUUGGUCAAUGCUCAAAUGUCCAAUAUACAUAUUAUAUUUUAUCUUAGUGGCGUUUUGCAUAUCUCUAUCAUAAUACAACAAAAAUAUUGUGCACAUCCGUGAGUGUACAUGUGUACAAUAGAAAUUGUGGCAUACAUGUGUACAAAAAAAAAAAAAACUUGCAAACAUGUAUACAUAAUUAUCAAAACAUGUAUACAUAAUUUUCACUUUCCACAUGUACAUAAAUUCCCAAGAUCUUAUAUGUACAUUAGUUCACUUGUACACCAAAUAAGUUUUCUAAAACGAUGAGCUUGGAAAUACAUACUCUUUGGCCUCCGUAACUUGUAUAGUUGAGUGAAAUCUUGUGCAGCAAGCAUAGCAUCAUAAGAUGAUAACUCAUCUCUGUCGGUUUUACUUUCAUCCCAUCUACACAAGUUAGAUAAACAUAGUUCAAAGACAAUACCAGUAAAACCUCGCAGAUUCUAGACAAAUGCUAAAUGAAUAUAAUUCAGAGACAUUACUAGUAAAACCUCCAAAGUCUUGUCUUUCUGCAGAUAUAUUGAUAGACACAUCAACAAGCCCUUAAGGCUUACUUGAGUUCAUCUUCCUAAAUUAGUAAUUUGGAAUCAGACACUUUAGUUUAUUUUAUAUUUCAUUCUAAGCACUAUAUAUCUUAAGUUAUACAUAAUCUUCCUCAAUUAUAUUUACAUAUAUAAGACAACAAACAAUGUAAAUGCAAAUAAUAAAAUUAAUCAUAAUUUUAAUAUAUUUAAAAUAUAAAAAUUAUAGUUGAAUUGAGAGAAAUAGAUGGAAUCUAAUAUACCCAAAUGAUAAUUAAAUCGAUUAUAAAAAUAACAAAAACGACUAGAUAUAACAUAUCAAAAAUCAUAUGUCUAAUUAAAGUAAUAUAAUAUUAUUAAUAUAAAUUAUGCAUACAAAUUAUAAAUAAAUUUAAAAUUAAA